GCGCCUGUAGCUCAGUUGGAUAGAGCACAGGGUUUCGAUCCCUGGUGUCGGAGGUUCGAAUCCUUCCAGGCGCGCCA
rnacentral:tRNA from 3 species